GACGAACGCUGGCGGCGUGCUUAACACAUGCAAGUCGAGCGGUAAGGCCCUUUCGGGGGUACACGAGCGGCGAACGGGUGAGUAACACGUGGGUGACCUGCCCUCAGCUCUGGGAUAAGCCUGGGAAACUGGGUCUAAUACCGGAUAUGACUCCACGGCGCAUGUUGUGGGGUGAAAGCCUUGUGUGGCUAGAGAUGGGCCCGCGGCCUAUCAGCUUGUUGGUGGGGUGAUGGCCUACCAAGGCGACGACGGGUAGCCGGCCUGAGAGGGCGACCGGCCACACUGGGACUGAGACACGGCCCAGACUCCUACGGGAGGCAGCAGUGGGGAAUCUUGCGCAAUGGGCGAAAGCCUGACGCAGCGACGCCGCGUGAGGGAUGACGGCCUGGUGUAACU
rnacentral:rRNA from 1 species